rnacentral:rRNA from 1 species
UACAGAGGGCCCAAGCGUUAUUCGGAUUCAUUGGGCGUAAAGGGUGCGUAGGUGGCGUCGUAAGUCGGGUGUGAAAUCUCGGGGCUUAACUCCGAAACUGCAUUCGAUACUGCGGUGCUUGAGGACUGGAGAGGAGACUGGAAUUUACGGUGUAGCAGUGAAAUGCGUAGAGAUCGUAAGGAAGACCAGUGGCGAAGGCGGGUCUCUGGACAGUUCCUGACACUGAGGCACGAAGGCCAGGGGAGCAAACGGG